UCCGAACUUCCGGGACUCUCUCUUCCUGGCUCCGGACGCUUAGACUAGUCUUCCUUUCCGGAAUGCCCAUUGAAUUCUGGGAGUUGUAGUUCUGCUCCAUCAAGAGCUUUUUCUUGGCGCCCCAAACUUUAAAAAUCGGACAGUUUUUAGCUCAGAACCAGCCAAUCGGCAGUUACGGUGCUGUGAGGUAAGCUGUAGCUAGGGUGAUUCUCUUGGACUCCUCCAGAGAUGGACCGCGCGCCUCCUAGUGCUUGGAGCGACCCUUUACUGAGUGAUCCGGCUGUGGCCGACCUCAGCUGCUCAAUUGACUGUGAAGAAAAUGACGUGUGGAUGGAAGUGGACAAGGCUGCCCGAGCAGGAGAAUCUGGUGGUCAGAUGGGAAUUGGGAUCUCCGCAAGCGGAGAGGGGUUUGGGAAUGUUCAAAACAAUCUCCCCUUCCCGGCGAUUGAACCCAGGGCCUCAAGCAGACUUUGUGUGUACGAGCAAAGGCCUCUGCCACCUUGCGGUUCCGCCCUCCAUAGCAGGUAGUGAUAAGAUCAGCAACGCCGCAGCUCUCCAGGAAGGUGGCAGAGGACACAGAACCACGACAGAAGAGCUUGGCAAAGGCGAUCAUCUCCAUGAGCCCCAGCCGGAUCACUGCUGCCUUGGUGUUGUCACCAAAGCCAAGCCCAUCACAGAAGCCAGCCCCAACGGCCACUAUAUUCUUUGAGGAAUAGAGGUCACGGGUGAGAAAGUUUCCUCUCUAGUGACUCCCUGUGUUAUCAUAUCAGCCAUGACACGCCCACUAAAUGAAGUAUGACAUGGCCUCUUACA